rnacentral:rRNA from 1 species
GGUCUAGACGGUCGGUCCGCCCCUUGCGGGGUGAGUACCAAAGUCCAGUUUGGGCCAUCGUCGAGGAGAACGUGGCUGGCAUUAAGUUGUCGGUGGCGGGAUCCUUGUCAUUUACUGUGAGCAAAAUAGAGUGUUCAAAGCAGGCUUAAGCCGUUGAAUACAUUAGCAUGGAAUAAUAAGAUACGACCUUGGGUCUAUUUUGUUGGUUUGCGGUCCGAGGUA